rnacentral:misc_RNA from 1 species
GCUUUGUGAAAUUAAUCUCCCUGAAAUUGAAUGGGAAAAUAGAAUCAGCAGACAAAAGCUAUUAGUAACACUGUAAACCUUGAUACAAAAUCACUAGUUAUGUUUUAUUUAAAAUGUCAACUAUGACUAUUGACAGUAAAUUGUAAAUGCAUAGUUUUCAUUUAUAGAGGUGGAUUUCAUAGUUUUUGAAUUGGGUAUUGUCUGUAACAAAUUCGAAAAGCAACAGGAAAGCAUGUUGGAAGACUAACAAACAAUAAGGAUUUCUCUUUACUUGUAAUCAACUGGAAAAGGAACACUAAAAAAUUGUUUUCGGUAUUUUUCUUUUCGGUUUGAAAAUAGAGAGAGUAAAGAGUUAUUUACUUUUUGUUUUCAUCGAGAUAGAGGACAUACAGGAAGAGUGAUAAGAGAGAGCACAAGAAUGAUCAGAUAGGAAAAGAGAAAGUGUGAGAGGAGAAAGAGAGUGAUGAUAGAGGGCGAUAUGAAUUUCAUAUGUAAUAUUUUGUUUUAAUUUUUUUUAUUUUACUGUGGCACAUAUAAGGAUGGCUAGAGAUAUGAGGGGUUUUUGAAGUGUGGGACUGAAGUGUAACAAAUUAUAAAGUUAAGGGAUUUUAUAGUAACAAACUGAAGACGAGGAUGGACGUGUAAUAAUUUCAAAAGUCAAGGAACAACUAGUAAAAAUUAGCCUCACGCAAUGUUUAUGCAUUUUAGCUGGUAAUCCUACAUUUUUGUAUUUGGAUGGAGAACUAGAAAUCCAAUUAUUUGAAUUUUGUGUAACAAAGAUGUGCGCUUAUAAAGGCAGUUAAAAAGCAAAUUUUCAACCAAACCCUUGGGUUGAAAUUACUCUUUAGUAGAUAAUUCAAAUUCGCUCACAGGAAUUUUCAUUCACACUCACUGAUGUAUCCAGAAUAAAAAACCUAGGGAUUACAUGUCCUUUCAACUAAUUUAAACAGAAAUAUCAAAUUCAAUCCAUUCAUAUCAAAUCCCUGUGCGCAAAUGCAUUACAGAGCUUAACUUUUCCACUAACUCAUUUCAAAUGCUGCCAAUUUCUAUCAAUUAAAUCCUCGGUCAAAAGCAACUUAAUUAGCUAAUAAAAAUCCUGCAUGAGCUUUACAGCAAGGCACUCUAAGAACCACAAAGCUUGCAUCAUACUAUACAAAGAUUGUAAAACCUAACAAUUCAAUGAAUUAAAAGCAUCCAAAGCAAUGAAUCACCAUAACAAAGAAAGAAACAAAAAUCAUAGGAUUUAGGUAUUGCAAAUAAACCAGGAAAACACUAACCUUGGA